rnacentral:rRNA from 1 species
GACGAACGCUGGCGGCGUGCCUAAUACAUGCAAGUUGAGCGAUGAAGAUUGGUGCUUGCACCAAUUUGAAGAGCAGCGAACGGGUGAGUAACGCGUGGGGAAUCUGCCUUUGAGCGGGGGACAACAUUUGGAAACGAAUGCUAAUACCGCAUAACAACUUUAAACAUAAGUUUUAAGUUUGAAAGAUGCAAUCGCAUCACUCAAAGAUGAUCCCGCGUUGUAUUAGCUAGUUGGUGGGGUAAAGGCUCACCAAGGCGAUGAUACAUAGCCGACCUGAGAGGGUGAUCGGCCACAUUGGGACUGAGACACGGCCCAAACUCCUACGGGAGGCAGCAGUAGGGAAUCUUCGGCAAUGGACGAAAGUCUGACCGAGCAACGCCGCGUGAGUGAAGAAGGUUGUCGGAUCGUAAAACUCUGUUGGUAGAGAAGAACGUUGGUGAGAGUGGAAAGCUCAUCAAGUGACGGUAACUACCCAGAAAGGGACGGCUAACUACGUG